GAGGAGCGAAAGCCGUGGGGAGCGAACAGGAUUAGAUACCCUGGUAGUCCCCGCCGUAAACCGUUGGGCGCUAGGUGUGGGACUCAUUUCCACGAGUUCCCGUGCCGCAGCUAACGCACUAAGCCGCCCCGCCUGGGGAGUACGGCCGCAAGGCUAAAACUCCAAAGGAAUUGACGGGGGCCCGCACAAGCGGCGGAGCAUGCGGAUUAAUUCGAUGCGACGCGAAGAACCUUACCUGGGUUUGACAUAUAGAGAAAACUGUCAGAGAUGGCAGGUCCGUAAGGGCUCUAUACAGGUGGUGCAUGGCUGUCGUCAGCUCGUGUCGUGAGAUGUUGGGUUAAGUCCCGCAACGAGCGCAACCCUCGUCCUAUGUUGCCAGCACAUAAUGGUGGGGACUCAUAGGAGACUGCCGGGGUCAACUCGGAGGAAGGUGGGGAUGAGGUCAAGUCAUCAUGCCCCUUAUGUCCAGGGCUUCACGCAUGCUACAAUGGCCGGUACAAAGGGCUGCGAAACUGCAAAGUAGGGCGAAUCCCAAAAAGCCGGUCUCAGUUCGGAUUGGGGUCUGCAACUCGACCCCAUGAAGUCGGAGUCGCUAGUAAUC
rnacentral:rRNA from 1 species